rnacentral:rRNA from 3 species
GGGUAGUUUGACUGGGGCGGUCUCCUCCUAAAGAGUAACGGAGGAGCACGAAGGUUGGCUAAUCCUGGUCGGACAUCAGGAGGUUAGUGCAAUGGCAUAAGCCAGCUUGACUGCGAGCGUGACGGCGCGAGCAGGUGCGAAAGCAGGUCAUAGUGAUCCGGUGGUUCUGAAUGGAAGGGCCAUCGCUCAACGGAUAAAAGGUACUCCGGGGAUAACAGGCUGAUACCGCCCAAGAGUUCAUAUCGACGGCGGUGUUUGGCACCUCGAUGUCGGCUCAUCACAUCCUGGGGCUGAAGUAGGUCCCAAGGGUAUGGCUGUUCGCCAUUUAAAGUGGUACGCGAGCUGGGUUUAGAACGUCGUGAGACAGUUCGGUCCCUAUCUGCCGUGGGCGCUGGAGAACUGAGGGGGGCUGCUCCUAGUACGAGAGGACCGGAGUGGACGCAUCACUGGUGUUCGGGUUGUCAUGCCAAUGGCACUGCCCGGUAGCUAAAUGCGGAAGAGAUAAGUGCUGAAAGCAUCUAAGCACGAAACUUGCCCCGAGAUGAGUUCUCCCUGAGACUUAGAGUCUCCUGAAGGAACGUUGAAGACGACGACGUUGAUAGGCCGGGUGUGUAAGCGCAGCGAUGCGUUGAGCUAACCGGUACUAAUGAACCGUGAGGCUUAACCUUACAACGCCGAAG